AUUGAUCGCUGGUUAUAUAUAGCUUCUGUUAUUUCACUUUUGGUUUUCUUUAUUGAAUUACAUGUCAUUAUUACGUACUUGUCGUUUUUGUUUUGUUUACUUGUCCUUAUUGUUUAUGUUUUCCUUCUCUUCUGCAGGUCUUCUGUUAAUUGGUUGCUUUCCUUCUCAAAAGUAUUCAACGGCAUUGAGAUUUUCUAUGAGAAGUUCGAUCCAGAUAUCAUCAAGAUCAGGAGAAAGGCCAGAGAGGUGUUGCAGAGGGAAGGAUCUUAAUGAAAUUGUCCAGGUACGUGUCACUUAUCGUUGUAUUGAUAUCAAUGUCGUGACUAAAUGACCUCUUCUCUCAGAGAUAUAUAGAAUAUGAUCAGUCUUAGCACAUUGUGAAAGGAAUUUCUUUGAACUGCAUAUUGUGACAAAAUCAUCUUGGAAACAGGAUGCUUUGCUGGUCGGUGAUGGUUCUGAUGGAUCGUUUUCUUCUCUGCCCUACAUCUUCUUCAGGCAGUCGAGGUACAAGGAUUAAUGUGUGGGAGGGUUUGAAAAGAGAAACAUCAGGUUAACAGUAAUGCCCCUGAUCUUUCUAGUGAGCUAGCAUCUACGUUUCAAGCAGCGUACCCUGUUGUUCACUUCUAUAAGAGAGAAGCAUCAGGUUUUGGUAAUUCUUUUGCCGCCCAAGAGGAGGGUAACCAAGCCAUGGCUGCCUAUCUCGCUCCCGCUAGGCUAUUGACAGGGUUGAAUCUUGAUAUUAUCUUGUUCCAGGUGUUAUUUGCCAUCUCUGUACAUUGGAAUGGAGUGUAUGCGAACCCACAGUCACAGCUACAAGGUUUCCGACCAGACAAGAACUCGUAAUUCUUCUGUCCAUCAAAGACUGCAACAAGUUUAGAAAAUUGUAGCUUUAUCGCCAUCUCAGAUCUCUUUUUCUUUUCUGGUUCUAGAUAUGGUUAAAAUAUGGCAUUGGAGACAACGCAGCAGAUCACUACUCUCUCUCGGUUCCUAGUUUGCAGAAUGCUAUCUGUUACUAAGAUCCCAAAUCAUGAGAGGCUAUAAAGAUUUCUCUUAAUGAGCUUCAGAAGCUUCUUAUCGACAACAGUCUUCCUGAUGAUCAUAUUUUGCAGCUUGCUUAUGGACCGACGUGGUUAUUAUAUAUGGGGAAUAGUACAUUAUUAAAUCGUUACAACUGUUGAUGCUGGUAAAGGAAAAUGUCUUGGGUGGACCAGAACGUGAUGGAAGUGUUACAGUUGUGCAUCUCCUGGAGGAGACUUUUCAAAUCCUGUGACUUCCGCAACCCUUAGUCUUCGGGGUUUUGGACAAAGGUAUCCCAGAGAAAACAUUUUCCUUCUGUUAAUUGGUUGCUUUCCUACUCAAAGGUAUUCAACGGUUGUUCGCUGGGGACGUCUAGUUUCAGCUCACAGUCAAUGCCGUCGCUCUCGUGUGCUUUUGGAGCAUUGGAUUCCCGUGUGCUUCCAAGGAGCCAAUUAGUUCAGCGAUUGCUCAAGAUUUUCCAGGCUUGAUGUGCUUAAGUUGCAGAGAGGAUUUUAUCAAAGACGAUGUCUGCUACAGCAUGCUAAAUGAGUUGAAGAGCAGCAAUGUCUUUGGUUUUAAAAGCCUUCCAAGUAUCUUUUUCUUUUUCUGCUCUAGGAGUUAUAGGUUCGGCUUUGUUCUCCAUCUUUGACAACAUCCCAGUCCCAGAGAUCUUUAUUCAUGAGUGUGGUUUUCAUUCUUGCCAUCAAACACUGCAACAAGUUGAGAUAAUUGCAGGCUCCUAGGAGGAUCAAGUUGAGCUCUGAUACCAUGUUGAACUCUUGCCCUAUCUUCAGGUUUGGAUGAUGUUUAGAUCAAUCAAUGAUGGCUUUGAUGGAAACGUCUUCACUCUUCAGGGGUCUUUUGGAAGCAAUUUAUUGAUCUGAUCAUUACCUUCUUCUCAAUGCAGCUGCUACGUCUUCAG